ncrna:Natrialba chahannaoensis JCM 10990 eL15-Euryarchaeota ribosomal protein leader
CCUGUUCGGCACGCGACGCCGCCACAGGACGGGAUGUGAUCCGACACUCGGAUUGAACCAGGAA